CCCCUCUGCUUGCAUUUCCCCUUCCUCCUGCCGCUUCCUCUCCCCUGCUCGGCCCUCCGCAGCCCCUUUGUUCGCCCCGGGCACGCUGGCCGGCCCACCGUUAUAUUUAGGCGGCAGGUGUGGGAGCCACAACAAGUCGGGUGGCCCUCCUGGGCACCAGCCGUCGCGCCCACGUGAUGCCCGGGAGCUAUAAAUAGCUCCGGGCCGCGGGGCGCCCAGCAUCCCGGGGAGGCCGACGCGCCCCGAGCUCCGAGCUCCCGGCUCCGAGCUCCCAGCUCCGGGUCUCGGCCUCCGCGCCCUGCCCGGCCCGCGCACGGAUGGAGGCGGCGGCGGGACGCCUGCGCGCGCGCGCUUGAGCCGGGGUGAGCCGGUGCUGGCGGGGGGCGUGCCGGGAGGACCUCAGCGGCACCCCGGGGAGGGGGCCCGCACCCCUGGAACCAGCUCCCCCCUCCCCCCGCGCCUCGGGGCUCACGCAGCACCGGACGUGGUGGCCCCCACCCAAGACCCUACGGGAUCUGCCGGGUCCCAGCCCUGCUCCCACGCUUCUGCUUUACUUCUGGGACCUCGCUGAGCUCUAAUCCUCUCGAAUCGCCCCACAUCGGGCAGGGGCCUGGGUCCAGAGGGUCUGGCCCUCACCGAAGCGGAUGCAAACUGGGCAGGCUGUGACCAGGAAUGAGGGUUGUAGCCUCCCUGAAUCUCUUAGAAACCGGGGUGGAGGUUGGUUCUUGCCUCCUAGACGGACUGAGAAAACCCACAGAGCCUGUCUGGUCAGGGCCCAGAGACCAUCCUGCCUUCUCUCCCUGGCCCGGUUACUCAUCUGCAAACAGGGACGACCACAUGGUCCCCUAGCUGGUCUCCAAUGGACGACCGCUGUGAACGCUCAGAGGGUUCAGUGCCGGCAGGUGGGGGAAGGCCGGCUGGGUCCCACGAGCUCGGGUGUGGGGCCACUGGCAGGAAGGCCCAUGGGGAGACACCCAGCUACCAGCAGGGCUCUUGCCUCAUGGUGGUGGGCAUGGGGAAUGGAUGCUGGAGAACUUGGUGGCCCCUGCCUAGGGGCCCUGGGGCCUCACUGAGGGGGUGUGGCUGGGAGGAAGGGCCUCUUCCUGGGGGGAUGGCCACAGGCCUGGUUGAGCUCUGUGGGAGCACCUGGGGCAGCAGGGGUGAGGCAUCGCUGCCUGCUCCCCGCUGGGAGUGGGGGACCCAGACUCUGCACAGACCCCACCCCAGCCUGGGCAGUGAUCUUCGUCCGACCUCAGCCCAGACCCGUGACCCCAUUCUAGCCUAUAUGCUACUCCCUGUUCCCAGCCAGUCUAACCCCUCAGCUCUGCCAGUCGGGGACAGACAACUUCAGGUUCAGGUGGAUGGUGAAGCCUGCCCAGCAGCCUUCAGCCCUGAGGACCUGUUCGGGGAUCCUAGGCAGCAGGGCUGGGCCCUAUGCUGGGGUCUCCCCGGGUGCCCAGAGGCUGGGGGCAGUGAGGGGGCAGGUCAGCCCCUCAGGGAGAGGCUUGUAACCCUGUGGUUCUUCGGGCCUUUUUUCUUCUUUCUUUCUGGUAAACACACACACACACACACACACACACACACACACACACACACACACUCGGGAACAUCCUGCUGCCCCAGGAGGAACAGGUGUUUGUGUGUUCAGGGAGCCCGAGGCUCUCUCCUUCCUCACCUGCACUCCAAGCGGAGGCUUGUGCUGGGACAGCUCAGGUUUGGGGCCGCGGCUUCCUUCCCUCUGCCUUUCUCCCCCUCUGGGGACACUCCCCAUUCGGCCCUCCUAGGGCCAUGGCACAGGACCGAGUGUGAGGUGUGGCACCUGCCCUAAGCCUGGGGACACCUUUCCUGUCCGGCGGCCCAGGCCUUGGGCCCUUGCCGCACCUAGGCCGAGCCCCCAUGGGCUCAGCUUGCCUGGCGGACGGCUGGAGAAGGGGGUGCUGGGACGGGGGCAAAGACGUUAGCCUGCUGCUGAGUGGCCUGGGAUUUAUGGAGAGGACCUCGGGGGGGCAGCUCUGAAUCCUGCCCGGGCCCAACAUCGCCUCGACGCCUGCUGCCGAGGGGGCCUGCGCGCCUCUGGCCCUCACCAUUGCCCUCGCCCGCCGAUGUUCCCUGCUGUCCGGCCCAGGGCCGGCUGUGCCGCCUGAGCCCCCGGGCGCCCUCCAGGACUCGCAGUACCCCGAUGGGGUAACGUGACAGAGGCCCUGUGUGUCAGAGCCGCCCGCCCCCGCGGCCGCUGCCCGCCCCCACCGCUGGUCCAGUUCAAGUUCGGUUUUCCUUUGGCCCUUGAGGGUCUGGGGCCCGCCUUUGAGCGCAGGGGGCCGCUUGCCUGUCCACUGAUGCAGAGGGGGCGUCCCCAGAGGCAGGCAGUGCUGGACGGAGCCACGGCGGCCCAUUCGCUCCGGGCUUUUUAAAGUUUUCCUCGCUGGGUUUUUGGUUGCCCUUAUUUUUACUUUUGCUUCUCUGGGGCCCGUGUCUCUCCUUUGCUUUGUAAGGAGCUGGACUCUGCUACUCAGCCCUUCCGCCUCCGAGGUGUUUGCAAAGCAUCUGUGCGGCUGGGGCGGGUUUGAAAGGGGUUUUCUGUGUCUCGAUCAAGCCCAGGGAUCUCGGUCUCCUCGGGCUGUGGGGGGGGGGGGCAGGUGGGGGCUUCUCCACUGCGGCCCCCAGCCCCGUGCGGCCCCUCCCUGGGCCCCGCCCGGUCCUCGGAGAAGCAUGGCCCGGAUGAAUCGGCCGGCCCCCGUGGAGGUGAGUUACAAGAGGAUGCGCUUCCUGAUCACGCACAACCCCACCAAUGCCACGCUCAGCACCUUCAUUGAGCAAGUCGUUGGGCCUGAAAGGCCACCCUAGUGGUUACUCUUGGCAUCGGCCUUUCUGUUUUGUUGCGGGGGGGCCGCGGCCCUGCCCUGGGGGCCCCAGACAGGGGGUACCCACCCCGGACCCCUCAGCCCCAGCCCGGCCUGCCUUCGUCCUCCCCCCC